CUGACAGAUCGAGGCGGGCUGAGUGCGCGAGCGGCCGGGGAGUAUUCCCGCGGGUCCUCCGGUUCCCUCCCCACCUCUCCGUUCCCGAAGCCCCCGGUAGUGGGCGGGGAGGGACGGGGGAGUCGUGGAAACUUCGCCCACCGCGCGCGGUCGCCGCGGUGCUGGCCGCGGGCUGGUGGCCGGCAGGCGGUGGCAGCAGCCUCACCGAACAGCUGAAACCCUAGACGGUUUUUUAACUGCGCGGGGCUGCUCGCGGUGCCUAUUAAACAUCCUCCUGGCUGGGUGUCAUUUUCUUGCUUCUCCUUUUGUAUUCUGAUCUGCGCAUAGAUCUGCUGCUGCUGAAAUCUAGAACACCAGCGCGAAAACAGAUUUGAAGACAAUGAAUGCAAAUCUGUGCUCAAAGACCAUCUGCCGUGGAGGAGACAAUCAGCUGUUCGUAGUUCGAGCGAUUGCGCCCCAGUCUCCCGGUCUCAUUACGGGGAGGGCAUUUGCGAGCGCCUGGACUGCGUUCAGGGCACUUUCUCCCCUCUUGGGUCUCAGAUUUGAGAGACCAGAUCCCUUAGGUGUAGGUGAGCGCUCGCAAAUGAACUGCUAGAGUUUGCCGCUAGAGGACACAGCGCCUUGCAACUGGUUUGCCUAGGCUGACAGGAAGCUUGCACUUCAAGAAAACUCGGCUCUCUCGAGAAAGGGACCGGUGCGCGCCUCCACCUCCCCAAGGGACAAACCGCGGCACCACGCUGCGUGCGCGGGAUUGCGACUAGGAAGUGCUGGUCCGAACUGCGGAGAUUCGCUUGAAAACGGAUAGGGGGUUAGGGAGUUUGCGGGGCGGGUGCACGGACCGUCUCUGCACAGGCCCCGGGAUCCAGGGACUGGGGUCAUUGAUUUGGGGGAAGGUAGAGAAGGUUUUACGGAGAAUUUCGGUCCCAGCAAAAACUGAUCACCUGGAGUCUUCUACGGUCUCUCUUUAUAAAUCUCUCCGAACCUCAAGCAACUCCCCCCCACCCCCUUCGUCUGGGGUCUGCGCCCAGCGGGGCCAAAGCCUUGAGUUCCUUGGCAGAGAGUGUGGAACAGCCGUGAGCCCUUCAAGACAUGCCUAUGAGCCCGGUGAUUUUUUUUUCAAGGGGGCUUUGAUCAGCUGUACCUCCACGUUGCCCCGGAAAGGUGCGCAGGGCACCCGGAGAGGCCUCUGGUCAGCAGUGGGCCUGGGCCAAGCCCCAACAGUUUACCCCUCAGGCUCAGGUUGGCUGGGGUUAAAGGGCAAAGUCAGGGUCGAGGGCACCAGCUUUUCUCGGCGGUAACAGCUGCCACCCAAAUUAUGCCCCCUCAGGAAGCGAAUGAAUUGUUCCUUUCUCCCAGCUCCCUGCUGCCCGCCCCAAAACAGACGGGGCCGCGCUCGGCGGGCGCCCCUCCUCCCAGCCAACCCCCCGAGACGCGCUCAGGGGCCUCGGUGCCCCGCUGGGAGGCAAUUUGGGGGAGCCGUGGUCCCGAACUUUGACAGAGUGGGGCUUCCCCACUACUUGCCGGCUGCGCUAAGGGCGCCCCCCGCGGCAGUGCUGCUGGGAGCUCCAGGGAUGGCUGUGUGGCUCGCUGCGGGCGUUGAAGUUCCCUGUUGGCCAGGCUGAAGUGCCUGCGCGAGCGUGAGGGGACAAGGACUGCCUUGGGCCCAGCGUGGCGGCGUUUCGGCCAACCCAGUUGGGGUUAAUUGCGUCUGUAUAGGUUUUGGGUAGGAAUGCUCGCGGAGUCCGCCACCCGCGCGAAACAUGCGUUGGUUGGGGGAAUGAGCAGCGGCGGCUGCGCCUGGAGGGUUGCUCCCACCUCUGUCGCCUCCAGCUACCCCCAAACAAACCUCCUUUUCGAUCUCGUGCAACACAAAACCUGCCCCGAGCUGUGCGGGGGCCUGGCAAGCGCAGCUGCGGCCCCGGGAAGCCCAAUCCCGCGGGACUGCGGAGCCCACGCGCUCCUCAGGCUCCGGCCAACUAGCUCGGUUCUGCCUCUAGCCCGGGUCAAGAAAAAUCCAAAAUGAACACUAUGAUUAAAAUUAUUCACAAUCUAUUUAUACAAAACUGGGGGUGUCUGUCUUUUACCCUGUCCCCUUCUUCAUUUAC
rnacentral:lncRNA from 1 species